rnacentral:rRNA from 1 species
GACGAACGCUGGCGGCGUGCUUAACACAUGCAAGUCGAACGGAAAGGCCCUGCUUUUGUGGGGUGCUCGAGUGGCGAACGGGUGAGUAACACGUGAGUAACCUGCCCUUGACUUUGGGAUAACUUCAGGAAACUGGGGCUAAUACCGGAUAGGAGCUCCUGCUGCAUGGUGGGGGUUGGAAAGUUUCGGCGGUUGGGGAUGGACUCGCGGCUUAUCAGUGUGUUGGUGGGGUAGUGGCUUACCAAGGCUUUGACGGGUAGCCGGCCUGAGCGGGUGACCGGCCACAUUGGGACUGAGAUACGGCCCAGACUCCUACGGGAGGCAGCAGUGGGGAAUAUUGCACAAUGGGCGGAAGCCUGAUGCAGCAACGCCGCGUGCGGGAUGACGGCCUUCGGGUUGUAAACCGCUUUCGCCUGUGACGAAGCGUGAGUGACGGUAAUGGGUAAAGAAGCACCGGCUAACUACGUG